rnacentral:rRNA from 1 species
GACGUAGGGGGCCAGCGUUGUUCGGAAUUACUGGGUGUAAAGGGUUCGUAGGCGGUGCGGCAAGUCGGGAGUGAAAUCUCUGGGCUUAACUCAGAGGCUGCUUCCGAAACUGCUGUGCUUGAGUGUGGGAGAGGCGCGUGGAAUUGCAGGUGUAGCGGUGAAAUGCGUAGAUAUCUGCAGGAACACCCGUGGCGAAAGCGGCGCGCUGGACCACUACUGACGCUGAGGAACGAAAGCCAGGGGAGCAAACGGG